rnacentral:rRNA from 1 species
CCCUUAGAUGUCCUGGGCCGCACGCGCGCUACACUGAUGCAUUCAACGAGUAUUUCCUUGGCCGAGAGGCCUGGGCAAUCUUUUAAACCUGCAUCGUGAUAGGGAUAGAUUAUUGCAAUUAUUAAUCUUGAACGAGGAAUUCCUAGUAAACGCAAAUCAUCAAUUUGCAUUGAUUACGUCCCUGCCCUUUGUACACACCGCCCGUCGCACCUACCGAUUGAAUGGUCCGGUGAAAUCUCGGGAUUGUGGCCAGUUCGCUUUAUUGAGAGUUGGCUGCGAGAACUUGCUUAAACCUUAUCAUUUAGAGGAAGGUGAAGUCGUAACA